CAUUUGUAUGUCUGUACUGCCACAAGCAGGAAGGACAGAAAUUUAAAGGUAAAAGAGUAUAGGGAAGCCCAAAGGAAAUGUAGUGUUAAAUUUCUGUCCAUGGUUCUAGAAACAUAAAGGAUUGUAGUCUGAACAAAGUUAUCUUGUUAUUGCAUUAUGAACAGUCGCAAAUAUUCUAUAUAAAAUACUGCACCCUUGCAACUCAUUUGAUAAUUAAAAAAAAAAAAAAAAAAAUCAGUGUGCAGUACAGACCUUUCGAUAGGCUUGUUUCUGCACACAUCCUUAAGACGACAAGUUGUUUUCAUGCUGUUUAGAGUGUUCAAUAUAUUUCAACGAAGUACAGGGACACCCAGCUACCCGAUGUUUUCACUAACAGCAGCCUCCAAGAGCAAAAGCCAGGAAAUGAGCCAAUGAUAGACAUUUUAUUUUCUAGAUGAGAUACAAACUCUGAAUUAAUCCCAAAACAUCCAAAAUGCCAACCUUUGUGAGCUGUGAGUGACAUACAAUCUGAAGGAAAAAAACCUCACCAACCAAAACCUGAAAAUAAAAAAAUACUAUGCUUUAGGAAUCUGAGCAGAACCAGAAAGUUAGAGCACCUCCUCUGGUUAUCAAAAUGCACUUCCACUGCUGACGUGAGAACUUACGGGUAUUAGCAGGAAUGCAAAGAGAAGCUGCUUGGCAACUGCAGUUUCACAUGGACAGGGAAAGUUUCUCUCCUGAGUGGAAAGGUAACUGGAUUCUAGUUUUAUUGUUACUACUCUGUCCCUCCCCUAUAAAAUGGGCAGUGCUAAAACACCACAAAUGUAUUCAAUAUGGUUAUGGUACAAAUAUAACAUCGAAGAGUAAAUAGCCCUCACACUUCUGUCUUAGCAUUUGGGACUCUAUCAGAAAGAAUCUAGAGUUGGGGCAGAAAUUUAUACUGCUCUACCAUGUAAACACAUAUCCCCUAAAAAGUCUUUACACACCAUAUUGUUUUAUGUAAUGACUUCAUUUUCUGGAAGUAUUUGUGCAAAACACAACACAAAGACCUUACAUUAAUUACAAAAUUAGGCAGUAAUGUGUGUUUUGUCCAUUUUGAAAACUGUACCCUAAAAUGAAGACUCUGUUAUUCAAAUGAAUUACGUCUCUGCUGUUAGGAAUGAGUUAGAGUAAAAUGUCACAUAUAAAGUUCACAAUGACAUUUUCCUAUACCAAAAUUUAAUUUAAGAGGGAUAUGCUGCAUUUUAAUAAAACAUCUCAUAGAUUUCAAGUAUAUUUUUAUGGUUCUCUAGGGAAAAUGCAGCAAAUAAUCAUAUUUUAAAUCCACUGAAGUUCUCUUGCUGAUGCUUUAAGAUGUAUUUUCUGGUUUCGUUUGAGUGCCAUAGUAUUUACAUUUUCAGACUUAUCUGCCAAUCUAUAUUCUCAAUAGUCGCUCUU
rnacentral:lncRNA from 1 species